UACGUAGGGGGCAAGCGUUUGUCCGGAUUUAUUGGGCGUAAGAGCGUGUAGGCGGUUUGGUAGGUCCGCUGUGAAACUCGAGGCUCAACCUCGGGAGGCGGUGGAUACUGGCAAGCUCGAGUCCGGAAGAGGCGAGUGGAAUUCCUGGUGUAGCGGUGAAAUGCGCAGAUAUCAGGAGGAACACCAAUGGCGAAGGCAGCUCGCUGGGACGUGACUGACGCUGAGACGCGAAAGCGUGGGAGCAAACAGG
rnacentral:rRNA from 1 species